rnacentral:rRNA from 1 species
GAGUAAAGUUAAUACCUUUGCCUCAUUUGACCGUUACCCCGCAGAAGAAGCACCGGCUAACUCCCGUGCCAGCAGCCGCGGUAAUACCGGAGGGUGCAAGCGUUAAUCGGAAUUACUGGGCGUAAAGCGCACGCAGGCCGGUUUUGUUAAGUCAGAUGUGAAAUCCCCGGGCUCAACCUGGGAACUGCAUCUGAUACUGGCAAGCUUGAGUCUCGUAGAGGGGGGUAGAAUUCCCAGGUGUAGCGGUGAAAUGCGUAGAGAUCUGGAGGAAUACCGGUGGCGAAGGCGGCCCCCUGGACGAAGACUGACGCUCAGGUGCGAAAGCGUGGGGAGCAAACAGGAUUAGAUACCCUGGUAGUCCACGCCGUAAACGAUGUCGACUUGGAGGUUGUGCCCUUGAGGCGUGGCUUCCGGAGCUAACGCGUUAAGUCGACCGCCUGGGGAGUACGGCCGCAAGGUUAAAACUCAAAUGAAUUGACGGGGGCCCGCACAAGCGGUGGAGCAUGUGGUUUAAUUCGAUGCAACGCGAAGAACCUUACCUGGUCUUGACAUCCACGGAAGUUUCCAGAGAUGAGAAUGUGCCUUCGGGAACCGUGAGACAGGUGCUGCAUGGCUGUCGUCAGCUCGUGUUGUGAAAUGUUGGGUUAAGUCCCGCAACGAGCGCAACCCUUAUCCUUUGUUGCCAGCGGUCCGGCCGGGAACUCAAAGGAGACUGCCAGUGAUAAACUGGAGGAAGGUGGGGAUGACGUCAAGUCAUCAUGGCCCUUACGACCAGGGCUACACACGUGCUACAAUGGCGCAUACAAAGAGAAGCGACCUCGCGAGAGCAAGCGGACCUCAUAAAGUGCGUCGUAGUCCGGAUUGGAGUCUGCAACUCGACUCCAUGAAGUCGGAAUCGCUAGUAAUCGUGGAUCAGAAUGCCACGGUGAAUACGUUCCCGGGCCUUGUACACACCGCCCGUCACACCAUGGGAGUGGGUUGCAAAAGAAGUAGGUAGCUUAACAUCUGGAGGGCGCUAC